UACGUAGGUGGCAAGCGUUGUCCGGAUUUACUGGGCGUAAAGAGCGCGCAGGCGGUCGUUCAAGUCGCGUGUGAAAGCCCCCGGCUCAACUGGGGAGGGUCACGCGAUACUGAUCGACUCGAAGGCAGGAGAGGGAAGUGGAAUUCCCGGUGUAGUGGUGAAAUGCGUAGAUAUCGGGAGGAACACCAAUGGCGAAGGCAGCCUUCUGGGCCAACACUGACGCUCAUGCACGAAAGCGUGGGGAGCAAACAGG
rnacentral:rRNA from 1 species